rnacentral:rRNA from 1 species
AUUGAACGCUGGCGGAAUGCUUUACACAUGCAAGUCGAACGGUAGAGGGGGCAACCCCUCGAGAGUGGCGAACGGGUGAGUAAUAUAUCGGAACGUGCCCAGUCGUGGGGGAUAACGUAGCGAAAGUUACGCUAAUACCGCAUACGAUCUAAGGAUGAAAGCGGGGGAUCGCAAGACCUCGCGCGAUUGGAGCGGCCGAUAUCAGAUUAGGUAGUUGGUGGGGUAAAGGCUCACCAAGCCAACGAUCUGUAGCUGGUCUGAGAGGACGACCAUCCACACUGGAACGAGGUAACGGUCCAGACGCGUACGGGAGGCGGCAGUGGGGAAUUUUGGACAAUGGACGCAAGUCUGAUCCGGCCAUUCCGCGUGCAGGAUGAAGGCCUUCGGGUUGUAAACUGCUUUUGUACGGAACGAAAAGGUCUCUCUUAAUACGGGGGGCUCAUGACGGUACCGUAAGAAUAAGCACCGGCUAACUACGUGCCAGCCGCCGCCGUAA